GCUAAUUAGCAUACGACAAGUCCACUGCUGGUGAGUUUCUGGUGUACAUUCCUCCUUCUUUUUUAUUAGCAAUAUACUGAGCAUAGAUAGAUACAUGUCUACUGCUUUCCCAUGCUCACGCAUGUUUAAUUUGUUUUUGAAGUCAACAUUGACGUGAAAGCUUUUUCAGUUCAGGGGGGUCAUAUUACAGUUUGUUUGUAAAACAUCUCCAUAAAAGCAUACACAGAAAAAUUGUUUUCCAUUUCACAUAACACUGCUGGGAAACUUCAAAAACCAUGCUUAAUUGAACGCAUCACAACUAGACAACAACAAUGGGGGACAAGGAGGCGCUAGUGUUAUUUACUUCUAGUCCUUCUAGUCCUGUGGCAGCUGCCACUCGAGAGGAGACAGGGGGCAAGAAGAGAUGUGGAACACCAAGCACCUUCCUCGUUGUCCUGCCACAUUGCUGAUGACGUCAUUCAUGUUUACCUUGUCUGGCCAAUGGGGGGCGCUGCAUGUUUGGGCAAAUCCACUCCAAGCAGGUUGAAAAUGGCAAACAUCUGUCAUAACACAAUGGGGUUGGCUGCCGACCAGUCCAGGAUGUAUACCGCCUCUCACCUGAAGUCAGCUGGGAUAGCUCCAGCUCACCCAUGACCAUUAUGAGGACACAUGGCAUAGAAAAUGGGUGGAUGGAUGCCAAGUGUGCUCCACAGUGUAGCCCUCUGAGGACAGAAAUGCCAUCUGAACAGAUGGAGGGAGAGAAUAUCUCAUCACUGUGACUCCAUGUUUAUGUAAGUGCAUACACAUAUGCACACACACACACACACACACACACACACACACACACACACACACACAUAUAUACUUGAAGAUGCCACUGUGGAUAAUCAAACUGGGUGCUUACAUUUUCUAUUUACUUUUUCCUCUGAACUGAAUACAGUGCACAUGUACAAUAUAUAAAGUACUGCUGACUUCACACAUGUCACUUCCCAGGCCCCACCUUUUAAAGGCGCACACAAUGUUACAGACAUUACAGCGUUCAAUUCCAGGUAUUUGUGUCUGGAUUGGUUGCACAAAUUAAAAGAUAUAAUUUUCUGUUUGAACCCACCCAUUUUACAUGUGAGCAAAAGUAUUGAAAUGUAUGACUGACAGGUGUGUU